UCUGGGGUGGCCUGUGGGAGGAUGGAGUGGGGACAAGGGCAGGGCAAGGGGAUCUGUUGAACAUGUGACCUCCUAUAAGCUUUUAUUUGAAGAACCAGCCCUACUCUUCUCACUUAUAAGUGGGACACCCAGACCAAGGAGUGGGAGAUACAGGUCUAGCUUAGCAGCGGAGACAGAUGCCUCCUUCUCCACUGCCCUGUGCCUGCCUGCACGGUGCUGCCCCUUUCCAGCAGUGGUCCUAGGUCUGCCUUCACCUGGCUUCCUGCCUUGAAUCAUUCAGUAUUUUCUAAGGGCUGUUCAGGGACAGAAGCUGAGCACUGAAUGGACAGAAGUCUCCGGAAGGCAGAAGGCAUCUAUUGAAAUGCACACCUGUUGGUGGGAUGGCUGCCAAUCAGCAUCAACUGGCCCAGAGCCAGGAUACCUUCAAAACAGUAGUUCCUAACCUUGGCUGCACAUUAGGGAGCUCUGACAGUGAAUUCCUGUGUCCCACCCCCAGUGGCUCUGAUUUAACUAGUCUGCAGUGUUUAUUGUCAUUGGGAGUUGUAAAAGCUCCUCUAGGGAUUCAGCCAGGGUUGAGAACCACAGCUUUAGAAGACAACUGCACAUGGGGUGUUUGCUGGCUGCCAUCCUAAGGGAGAUUCUUCUCAGGGAGAGGCACAUCUGCGAAUAAAUCUCCUGGUCAGAAAGUGGAAAGGGCAUCUGUCCCAAGCCCCAACUUGAGACAACUCCACCCAGAGCCACAGGUGCUGUUGGAUGGUCUGUGCACUGCUCAAAGGUGUCCAGUAGAGGGAGAAGCUGCAUGGAGGACCAGAGUAAGCCCUUCUGGAGGCAGAGGAGAGAAACAAUGCUACUCUGGCUUUGUGAUGCCUGCCCAGGGGUCACCAGCACCUGGGUCCCCAGCCUGCCUGCUUAGUGCACUCUCUGUUCCUGCUGCCAGGAGGUCGAUGCCGCAGCUCCCUUGCAUGUCACUCAAGGUCUUCAUGGGCAGCUCCCACCCUCAUACUUUGGUUUCUCCUUCUGUCUAUCCCAGUAGUGGGCCGGACCAGCUGGAGAGUACCAAUGACAUAACUGAUUGUUAAAUUUUCAGGAGUUUUGUAAGCCAGUUGUUUAGCAAGAACAUCAUUAGAAAUUAAUGUAUAUAAACUUAUAAUUAAA
rnacentral:lncRNA from 1 species